CGUAUAUUAAAGUUGUUGCAGUUAAAAAGCUCGUAGUUGAAGUUCUGGCUGUAUUGGGCCUUUGCACUUGAUGCGAAGGAACCAGCAGUCAUCCGCUUGCAAAUACAUGUCCUUCCUUAACCGGUAGGCUGUAUAAGUAAGCACUUUACCUUGAGAAAAACAGAGUGUUCCAGACAGGUUUUGUCCGGAAUGCAUUAGCAUGGAAUAAUAGAAUAUGACUGAAGUCGAUUUAUUGGUUUAAGGCUUUAGUAAUGAUUAAUAGGAACAGUCGGGGGCAUUGGUACUUGACAGUCAGAGGUGAAAUUCUAGGAUUUGUCAAAGACUAACAAAUGCGAAAGCAUUUGCCAAGGAUGUUUUCAUUAAUCAAGAACGAAAGUUAGGGGAUCAAAGACGAUCAGAUACCGUCCUAGUCUUAACUAUAAACUAUACCGACUCGGAUUCAUGAAUCAAAAAGUUCAUUUGGGACCGUAGGAGAAAUCAAAGUUUUUGGGUUCUGGGGG
rnacentral:rRNA from 1 species